UAGACAUUCAAAGCUCACAAUGUCCUGUAC
rnacentral:piRNA from 1 species